GUUGGACAGCCCUCUCGCAUGGCAAUUUGGCGACUGAUGGAUCCUAGGGUUUGAAUCCACAAAGAAUCAAAAAUGCAGUUUAUGGUCUGACCAAGGGACUGAAGAAAGCCUGCGGUUGAUCCUGGUGACCCCCCGACUGGCGUUUACAGUGCAGCCAUGCCAUGGCUGGGGGACAUGGCUCAAGAUGGAGUCCCUCCUCUCAUGAUCCAGCCACAAAGGCUUGCCUGAGUCCUUGGGAAGGUUCCAGAUCAGGCUUCCCGUCAGACGCUGUCCUCACCUCCGAUGAUCUGCUCCAAUGGCAUCUGUGACUCUGCCAAAGCCCUGCUCUCUGGAAAAAGAGCAAACAAAGCAAUUUCAGCAAACAGUGGAGGACAGGCCCUGCUCUUACAGGAAGCCCAGGUUCACCCAGAAACGCAUCAUCCCGGCCCAGGCACAUCUGGUUUCCUCUACACUCUUCACCCAGAGACCUAGGGAUAUUUCUACCCAGGUAGGAACAGAGCAGGAAGGAAAUUGCUUUUAAGUAUUGACAGCUCCCAACAUUGAACCAGUGUUGCUUAAUUAAUGGGAAUGCUGAUGGGAUUCCUCAGGCUCCCCUCCCUUGAGCAAAUGGACAACUCCACCUUAGAAACACCAUUGCCUUGGAGGUUAAUCCUCAGUUCUCCUUGGCACUGUUUGUCCUUCAUCAAAAGAGUAACCCAGAAUUUCUCUCCCCUUCAGAGUGUACCCCUCAACUCCUUUUUGAAUGAAUAAGAAACAGAUCAACAGUAUCUCGUUGACUUGAGUGAUCUAAAUGAACCUCUGCCUAACUUCUGUUUCAAGCCACACAUGACCUCACUCACUUCAGAAGGGCCUCCAGUUCCCGCUUGACUUUGCCCACAACGGGUGGCCCCCAGAAGGUGAGGGCCGUGUACAGCUGCACCAGGGAGGCCCCUGCCCGGAUCUUCUCCAGCGCGUCCUGCCCGCUGCUCACACCACCAACCCCAAUUAUGGGAACUCGGCCUACAGAGAAGCACAUGGCGACACCAUAAAGAAGGAUGUGGCUUCAGCCCCAGAGUCCCCCACAAUCAAGGCAGAUUAGGGAAUGAUGAUUCCCAUCACGACCCAGGAGCCCAAGCCACACGCAGAUCUGAAGACACAAACACGGGAAACCUUGCCUUGGAGACCCGCUGUCCAGACAGGCUGGAGAGAGGAGUGAGA
rnacentral:lncRNA from 1 species